rnacentral:piRNA from 1 species
UGGGGCUAAGAAACUUGCUCAUAGGCUGGC